AGCAGCCGCGGUAAUUCCAGCUCCAAUAGCGUAUAUUAAAGUUGUUGCAGUUAAAAAGCUCGUAGUUGAAUUUCGGGAUCAAUACGUCGGUCGUGCUUAGGUACGUACUGGCGUAAUUGAUUUCUCCCUUCUGACGAACCAUGAUGUCAUUAACUUGGUGUCAUGGGAAAUCAGGACUGUUACUUUGAAAAAAUUAGAGUGUUUAAAGCAGGCUCACGCUUGAAUACAUUAGCAUGGAAUAAUGAAAUAGGACGUUCGAUCCUAUUUUGUUGGUUUUUAGGAUCAACGUAAUGAUUAAUAGGGAUAGUUGGGGGCAUUAGUAUUCAAUUGUCAGAGGUGAAAUUCUUGGAUUUAUUGAAGACUAACUACUGCGAAAGCAUUUGCCAAGGAUGUUUUCAUUAAUCAAGAACGAAAGUUAGGGGAUCGAAGACGAUCAGAUACCGUCGUAGUCUUAACCAUAAACUAUGCCGACUAGGGAUCGGAUGAUGUUAAUUUUUUAAUGACUCAUUCGGCGCCUUACG
rnacentral:rRNA from 1 species